rnacentral:rRNA from 1 species
AGAGUUUGAUUCUGGCUCAGGAUGAACGCUGACAGAAUGCUUAACACAUGCAAGUCGAUGGGGAAGUGGUGCUUGCACCAUGGUAACCAUGGCGGACGGGUGAGUAACGCGUAAGGGACUUGCCCGCGGGACCGGGAUAACAGCAGGAAACUGCUGACAAGACCGGAUAAGGUCAUGGAGCCGCAUGGUUACAUGAUGAAAGGAGACGCCUGCGGAGAGCCUUGCGUCCUAUAGCUAGUUGGGGGGGUAACGGCCCACCAAGGCGAAGAUAGGUAGCCGGCCUGAGAGGGUGGACGGCCACAAGGGGACUGAGAUACGGCCCUUACUCCUACGGGAGGCAGCAGUGGGGAAUAUUGGACAAUGGGGGCAACCCUGAUCCAGCAAUUCUGUGUGCACGAAGACGGUUUUCGGAUUGUAAAGUGCUUUCAGCAGGGAAGAAGUAAGUGACGGUACCUGCAGAAGAAGCGACGGCUAAAUACGUGCCAGCAGCCGCGGUAAUACGUAUGUCGCGAGCGUUAUCCGGAAUUAUUGGGCAUAAAGGGCAUCUAGGCGGCCUGACAAGUCAGGGGUGAAAACCUGCGGCUCAACCGCAGGCCUGCCUUUGAAACUGACAGGCUGGAGUACCGGAGAGGUGGACGGAACUGCACGAGUAGAGGUGAAAUUCGUAGAUAUGUGCAGGAAUGCCGAUGAUGAAGAUAGUUCACUGGACGGUAACUGACGCUGAAGUGCGAAAGCCGGGGGAGCGAACAGGAUUAGAUACCCUGGUAGU